GUGGGGAAUCUUGCGCAAUGGGCGAAAGCCUGACGCAGCGACGCCGCGUGAGUGAUGAAGGCCUUCGGGUUGUAAAGCUCUGUGGGGAGAGAAGAAUUAGUGUGGGCUAAUCACCACAUGAUGACGGUAUCUCCUUAGCAAGCACCGGCUAACUCUGUGCCAGCAGCCGCGGUAAGACAGAGGGUGCAAACGUUGUUCGGAAUUACUGGGCGUAAAGCGAGUGUAGGCGGUCUCGUAAGUCGGAUGUGAAAGCCCCGGGCUCAACCCGGGAAGUGCACUCGAUACUGCGAGACUUGAGUACCGGAGAGGUUGGUGGAAUUCUCGGUGUAGAGGUGAAAUUCGUAGAUAUCGAGAGGAACACCGGUGGCGAAGGCGGCCAACUGGACGAGUACUGACGCUGAGACUCGAAAGCGUGGGGAGCAAACAGGAUUAGAAACCCGAGUAGUCC
rnacentral:rRNA from 1 species